rnacentral:rRNA from 1 species
AAAGAGCGCGCAGGUGGUUAAUUAAGUCGGAUGUGAAAGCCCCUGGCUCAACCGGGGAGGGUCAUUGGAAACUGGGAGACUUGAGUGCAGAAGAGGAGAGUGGAAUUCCAUGUGUAGCGGUGAAAUGCGUAGAUAUAUGGAGGAACACCAGUGGCGAAGGCGGCUCUCUGGUCUGUAACUGACGCUGAGGCGCGAAAGCGUGGGGAGCA